CUGAAGUUUGGAUCUAAAUUUUGGAUCUAAACACAGCCUUAUAUGAAUUUUUUUUGUAAUUAGUAUUUUCAUUGUUGUUAGAUGAUAAAAUAAGAUUAAUACUUUAUGCGUGACUUAUCUUUUUAAUUUUUUUUAUAAUUUUUUUAAAUAAGACGGACAUUCAAACGUUAGACACGAAAAUC
rnacentral:pre_miRNA from 1 species